rnacentral:rRNA from 1 species
GCCAAACAGCUAGCCCCCCCCCCCCCCGCAAACUUUUAACUAUAAACAGCCCAGCAUGCACCCGACAAGCUGAAGUAAAGCAUUCUCCCACCCCAGUAUGGGCGACAGAAAAGGAACGAACAGGGAGCUAUAGAGGUAGUACCGCAAGGGAACGUUGAAAGAGCGGUGAAAAAGGACACUUAAGCAUAGCAAAGCAGAGACCAACCCUCGUACCUUUUGCAUCAUGAUCUAGCCAGUACACCCAGGCGAAGAGAACUCUAGUCUGACACCCCGAAACCGGACGAGCUACCCCGGGACAGCUCAUAGGAGCCAACCCGUCUCUGUGGCAAAAGAGUGGGAAGAUCCCCCGGUAGAGGUGAAAUGCCUACCGAGUCAGGUUAUAGCUGGUUGCCCAGGAAAUGAAUAGAAGUUCAGCCCUGCCCGUUCCCCCACCAGCGCAGCUUGGCUAGAAAAGGACACGGGAUCCCGCAGGAGUUAGUUGAGAGAGGUACAGCUCUCUUAACACAGGAUACAACCUCUACCAGGAGGCUAAGGAAUAUCAUUGACAAAGUCGUGGGCCGCAGUGGGCCUAAAAGCAGCCAUCUGACAGGAAAGCGUUAAAGCUCAGACCCCCGCUCAGACUACCAUUUCAUUAAACACGCCGACGCCCCUAACCUUACUGAGCCGCCCCAUGCCCCCAUGGGAGAGACCAUGCUAGAACGAGUAACAAGAAGACCUAACUUCUCCCUGCACAUGUGUAAGCCGGACCGGACCCCCCACCGGCAACUAACGAACCCAACACCAGAGGGCAGCACGCCACCGCCCCCUUCGGCCGAGAAAAACACGAGCUAAGAUAUCGUUACCCCCACACUGGAGUGCAAUCCCCAGGGAAAGACGAAAAGGGCCAAAAGGAACUCGGCAAACCCGGGCUUCGCCUGUUUACCAAAAACACCGCCUCUUGCCUUUUGACGUAUAAGAGGUCCCGCCUGCCCUGUGACCAGAAGUUUAACGGCCGCGGUAUUUUGACCGUGCAAAGGUAGCGCAAUCAAUUGUCUUUUAAAUGGAGACCUGUAUGAAUGGUAUUACGAGAGCCCAACUGUCUCUUGGCCCCCGUCAGUGAAACUGAUCUGCCCGUGCAGAAGCGGGCAUCCUAAUACAAGACGAGAAGACCCUAUGGAGCUUUAGGCGCCCACCAACCGCAACAAGCACUCGCCCCACCUGAGAUUCAACCCACGCGGCGCUGGCACAAACGCCUUCGGUUGGGGCGACCACGGGGGAAAGAAAAGCCCCCGAGCGGACCUACCCACCAGAGUUUGGGGACACACCCCUGAGCCACAGAACCUCUGACCGAAAAUGAUCCGGCCAGAUCCGAUCAACGAACCAAGUUACCCUAGGGAUAACAGCGCAAUCCCCUCCCAGAGUCCCUAUCGACGAGGGGGUUUACGACCUCGAUGUUGGAUCAGGACAUCCUAAUGGUGUAGCCGCUAUUAAGGGUUCGUUUGUUCAACGAUUAAAGUCCUACGUGAUCUGAGUUCAGACCGGAGUAAUCCAGGUCAGUUUCUAUCUGUACAGCCACCCUUCCCAGUACGAAAGGACCGGAGAGGUGAGGCCUAUGCCUCCGGUACGCCUCCUCCCCACUCGCUGAAGCCAACUAAAGCAGAGCAAAGGGGGGCCCCCCUCCGGCCCCAGAGAAGGGCUU